UACGUAGGGGGCGAGCGUUAAUCGGAAUUACUGGGCGUAAAGCGUGCGCAGGCGGUUUUGUAAGCCAGAUGUGAAAUCCCCGGGCUCAACCUGGGAAUGGCAUUUGGGACUGCAAGGCUGGAGUUUGGCAGAGGAGACUGGAAUUCCUGGUGUAGCAGUGAAAUGCGUAGAUAUCAGGAGGAGUACCGAUGGCGAAGGCAGGUCUCUGGGCUAUAACUGACGCUCAUGCACGAAAGCGUGGGGAGCAAACAGG
rnacentral:rRNA from 1 species